GCCCCCAUAGUUUAAUGGAUAAAAUGCGAGCUUGCGGAGUUCGUGAUCGAGGUUCGAUUCCUCGUGGGGGCA
rnacentral:tRNA from 1 species